GGCUGAAUUUAGGCGGUAAAUUGUAAAUUUAUUUAUGAAUGAUAAUUCUUUUACCA
rnacentral:tRNA from 1 species